rnacentral:rRNA from 1 species
GGACGAACGCUGGCGGCGUGCUUACCACAUGCAAGUCGAACGGAAAGGCCCUGCUUUUGUGGGGUGCUCGAGUGGCGAACGGGUGAGUAACACGUGAGUAACCUGCCCUUGACUUUGGGAUAACUUCAGGAAACUGGGGCUAAUACCGGAUAGGAGCUCCUGCUGCAUGGUGGGGGUUGGAAAGUUUCGGCGGUUGGGGAUGGACUCGCGGCUUAUCAGCUUGUUGGUGGGGUAGUGGCUUACCAAGGCUUUGACGGGUAGCCGGCCUAAGAGGGUGACCGGCCACAUUGGGACUGAGAUACGGCCCAGACUCCUACGGGAGGCAGCAGUGGGGAAUAUUGCACAAUGGGCGGAAGCCUGAUGCAGCAACGCCGCGUGCGGGAUGACGGCCUUCGGGUUGUAAACCGCUUUCGCCUGUGACGAAGCGUGAGUGACGGUAAUGGGUAAAGAAGCACCGGCUAACUACGUG